ensembl:lncRNA
ACGGGACAAUGUUAGUUUUCACCGGGCUGUUCUGGUCCAAAACUGGUUUGCCACCCAUCCACAAUUUGUAGUUUUGUACCUACCCCCAUAUUCACCUUUUCUAAAUCCCAUAGAGGAAUUCUUCUCAGCCUGGCGCUAGAAAGUGUAUGAUCGCCAACCCUAUGCCCGCAUGCCGCUUCUCCAGGCAAUGGAGGACGCAUGUGGGGACAUAGAGGUUGCCUCUGUCCAAGGUUGGAUACGCCAUGCUAGGAGAUACUUCCCUCUAUGUGGGGACAUAGAGGUUGCCUCUGUCCAAGGUUGGAUACGCCAUGCUAGGAGAUACUUCCCUCUAUGUGGGGACAUAGAGGUUGCCUCUGUCCAAGGUUGGAUACGCCAUGCUAGGAGAUACUUCCC